rnacentral:misc_RNA from 1 species
GAUGAAGAACGUAGCGAAAUGCGAUAAGUAGUGUGAAUUGCAGAAUUCAGUGAAUCAUCGAAUCUUUGAACGCACAUUGCGCCCCUUGGUAUUCCAUGGGGCAUGCCUGUUCGAGCGUCAUUUGUACCUUCAAGCUCUGCUUGGUGUUGGGUGUUUGUCUCGCCUCUGCGUGUAGACUCGCCUCAAAACAAUUGGCAGCCGGCGUAUUGAUUUCGGAGCGCAGUACAUCUCGCGCUUUGCACUCAUAACGACGACGUCCAAAAGUACAUUUUUACACUCUUGACCUCGGAUCAGGUAGGGAUAGCCGCUGAACUUAAGCAUAUCAAUAAGCGGAGGA